CAGAGCUCCUGCUCCCCAGGGCUUGCUCCCCGUGCUGCUGUCAGUGCCCAGGGAGCAGAGCUGUGCUGCAGGCCAGGCUGUGGCUGCCCACAGCUGCUCCCUCUGCAGAGCUUCCCGGCUGGCAGUGAGCAGCCUGCGCCCCACAGCCUUUGGCAGAAGCAGCUGCACUUUGCCCACCACUACCUCCCUUAGUUACCAGCUAACCACAGCCAAGCCUGUUCAAGAAAAAAAAAUCUAUUUUUUAACUCACAGACAAUGGACAGAGAGCAUGACAAGUUUUCCUGACAGCAAAACCGAAAUUAACACUGAGAGUACGCUGUAUAAUUAUUCCAGUAGAAGAAAUAAAUACAGUUUCAAAGUCAUUGCUCAUUAAACAUCAAUCUGCAGCUCAGAGGAACCAGAGGGCAUGGCCUUAGGCAUUGAAGCAGAAGAAGAGUUUCUUGUGAUUUUUUUCAAGGCCUGAGCUGUCUCCAGGGAGAAAGAUGAAGAUAGAAAGCACCGUGAGGUGGAGGACCAGAGCCUUGGUGUCAGUUUUCAGGAGUUGAGCCCUGCCAGGUACCAAAGACUCAGGAGUUGCUCCAUGUCUUACAGAGACACAGCUUUGAGUCCUUUGACUCUACCCAUACAUUGUUAUUUUUGGACUUGUUCCUGCCUGGCCGCUGCAGUGUCAUGACAAUGCAGUCUCUAAAGGCUCUCUCUCUCUUCAAUCACUACCCUGACACAAUGGCACUCACAAGAAGAGAAACGUUUUUUAAUCAUCUUUUGAUUCUGAGCUGUCCUUUUCAUCACUAAUAAUGUUGCCUAUUUCUGUGUGACUAGGGGAAAAGAAAAUGAUAUAUAUGCAUAUAGGUUUGUAUGGGAUCUACCCAAAUAGCUAACAGAGCUCUGCAGAG